rnacentral:rRNA from 1 species
UACGAAGGGUGCAAGCGUUACUCGGAAUUACUGGGCGUAAAGAGCGUGUAGGCGGCCAGGUAGGUCUGCUGUGAAAACUCGAGGCUUAACCUCGAGAUGUCGGCGGAAACCAUCUGGCUAGAGUCCGGAAGAGGAGAGUGGAAUUCCUGGUGUAGCGGUGAAAUGCGCAGAUAUCAGGAAGAACACCCGUGGCGAAGGCGGCUCUCUGGGACGGUACUGACGCUGAGACGCGAAAGCGUGGGGAGCGAACAGG